rnacentral:misc_RNA from 1 species
GUGGGAGCCGAGCUUGCUCGCGAUGGCGGUACAUUCAGCAUCAUUGCCGGCUGAUGAACCGCCAUCGCGAGCAAGCUCGGCUCCCAC